AUUUCUAAUUAUUGUUCUAAUAUUAUGCAAUGUCUGUCGACUUUGGUAUACUUCGUUUGAAUUGAAUUAUGGGAUAUAGAGAUGUAACCUUAUUGUCACAAUAAAUCUGUAUUGGUAUUUUCUGAAAACUUUCAAUUCUUUAACUAGUCUUCUAAUCCAUUUGCCUUCAUAGAUACCAGAGAAUGAUGCCUUAAAUUCUGUUUCAAUGCUGCUUCUGGCCACUACACUUCGUUUUUUGCUUGGUGAAUUGACUAAUUUACCUCCAACAAAGGAUAAAUAGCCAAAUGAAAGACUACUAAGUUUGAAUGGAUCUACCUCCAAUAGUAUGAACUGUAUUCACUCAAACAAAGGACAGUGCAUGAACUGAUUUACCAUGCUCACAAUGAAAGCAAUAUCACGACAUGUGUGGGACAGAUAAAUUAAUUUUCCUAUUAUGUAGCUUUCAUUUUUUCAACUUUGGCUCAAUAAGAGUCUCAACCGCCUUUAACCUAAGUAAGCGAGUCCAAUGUCCUAACCAUUGGACCAUGGGAACGUUGUUCUCCAAGGCCUUGAUUUGAAAUGCACUUGCAAGUUUUUUCUUUAAAGUGAACCAUUCUAGUUCACCAUAUCUUACUAGAAUAAUGUCAUAUACAUAGACAAUAAAAAUCACAAUUUUGUUGUUUGCAGAAUGCUUAUAAAAGAGGGUGUGAUCACCUUGACUUUGAAGAAACCCUAAGCUCAUAACCACUUUUCUAAAUUGUUCAAACCAUGUUUUGGAGAUUGUUUGAGCCCAUGUAGAGAUUUCUUUGAUCGACAUACUUUCUUCUUCUUGAGAAAAAAUUCACAACCUAGUGGUAAGCUCAUAAACGUUUCUUCUUCAAGAUCACCAUUAAGAGAAAUAUUUUUUACAUCGAGCUAGUGAAGGGACCAAUCUAAGUUUGCUUCAAUUGAUAAAAUUAUUAGGAUGGAGUUAAUUCUAGCAACAUGAACUGAAGUUUCAUUGACUUUGAAGAAACCCUAAGCUCAUAACCACUUUUCUAAAUUGUUCAAACCAUGUUUUGGAGAUUGUUUGAGCCCAUGUAGAGAUUUCUUUGAUCGACAUACUUUCUUCUUCUUGAGAAAAAAUUCACAACCUAGUGGUAAGCUCAUAAACGUUUCUUCUUCAAGAUCACCAUUAAGAGAAAUAUUUUUUACAUCGAGCUAGUGAAGGGACCAAUCUAAGUUUGCUUCAAUUGAUAAAAUUAUUAGGAUGGAGUUAAUUCUAGCAACAUGAACUGAAGUUUCAUUGACUUUGAAGAAACCCUAAGCUCAUAACCACUUUUCUAAAUUGUUCAAACCAUGUUUUGGAGAUUGUUUGAGCCCAUGUAGAGAUUUCUUUGAUCGACAUACUUUCUUCUUCUUGAGAAAAAAUUCACAACCUAGUGGUAAGCUCAUAAACGUUUCUUCUUCAAGAUCACCAUUAAGAGAAAUAUUUUUUACAUCGAGCUAGUGAAGGGACCAAUCUAAGUUUGCUUCAAUUGAUAAAAUUAUUAGGAUGGAGUUAAUUCUAGCAACAUGAACUGAAGUUUCAUGAUAGUCCAUAGGUUUGAGUGAAUCUUUUGCAAUUAGUCUGACCUUAUGUCUUCAGCAUUGCCAUAACUAUUACAUUUUAUGGUAAAAACCCAUUUAAACCCACUAGUUUCUUGUCUUUUGACAAAUCUACUAUUCCUCAUGUACAAUUAUGUCUUAGAGCAUUUAUCUCUUUCGUAAUUGUUAGUUUCUAAAUUUGGAUCAUUUAGAGCUUCCCGUUUGUUACUGGGAAUAAGGAAGUUGGUCAUCCUAGAGGUAAAAACUCUAUGACUAUUUGAAAAUUUUGAUAUGAGAUGUAGUUUACAAUAGAGUGUUGGGUGCAAGUGCAAGUUCAAGUAACUUUUCUCAAAGCAAUAUGGACAUCUAGAUAGAAACAACAAUUGGACAUUUUCAAUUGUUGGAGAGACAAGAAUGGAAGAUUGUUUGCCCAAUGUUUCAGAAUCAUUCAAAUUGGAUCUGCUCAUUUCGUUGAGUCUUCUACUAUUUGUAAUUUGGAAUAUGCACAUAAAACGAUAUGGCUCGAGCAACAUCCAAUAGAUGCCUAGUUUAUUUGCUUAGCAGUCCAUUUUGUUCUGUUGAGAGGUGUCUUUACAAGUAGAUUGAUGAACGAUGCCUUUAUCUUUUAAAAACCCACUCAAAUGUUCAUUGAAAGAUUUAGUUUCAUCAUUAGAAUGCAAAAUGCUGAUUUUUGGCUUGAAAUUGAGUUUCAGUCAUAUUUUAAAAAUCAUUUAAUCUUUUUUUGUCAAUAAAUAGACCCAAGACAAGCGAGUGUGAUUGUCAAUAAAGGUCAUGAACGUUCACUAUUAUUCACUAUGUUAGAAGGGACUUAUCCAUGUCCACUACUAUUCAAGCGUCACUAUGAAUCAAGUAAAAUAGUUUAGAGGACUCGUAAAAUUUUGGUAACUAGGGGAGUUUAGUAAUUUUAUAUUCCAAUAAUAAAAUAGUAAGAUCAGGUAAAUGGAAAAAAUAAUAGUAAGAUCUAUAGUCUUCUAUUUUGGGGGAAAACCCCAAUAAAGAAGAAUAAGAAUAAGAAUAAAACCUUUAAUGAUUACACAACUAAAAUAUUUACAACUAAUAUAAAUCAACAAGGGCAUCAUGGUUUCUUUGAAUAGAAAGAGACCACUCUUCGGUAGUAAUCCUAGGUCUAUAAAUAGUCUUUUGGAAUAUAUUCUUUUUGUUGGAUUAUUGAGGGUGUGAGUUUGGUAAAUAGAUUUUGAUGUUACUAUUUUGACCUAGCUUAUGACAAUAAUGACUCAACAUUGAAUUUGGUUUUCGAGUGUUGAGAAUUCCCUGGGAGAUGUUUGAUCCUGCCCCUCUGUUACCUUUGUAAUUAUUUGUUUGUCCAGCCAAACCACUGUUAGGCUUAGAUGAUAGGAUCAUUUACGAGUUCUCUGUACGAAGUAUUUUAGUAUAAGCUUCCUCCAACAUGAAUUCCUUUUGAGAUGUUUGAUCCUACUCCUCUAUUAUCCUAGAAACGAUCACUAGCUUGCUAAAAUUCAAUUUCACCACUUCUUCGUUUUUUUUUUCUUUUUUUACCCACAGAGAAUAUGAAGAUGACAAUGCCUCUUGAAUACUUGAGGAAUCUUUUGAGAUCUCAGAGGUGGCCAAACAAUACAAUUGAUGAACCAACGUGUGACAAACUUUGUUUUGAUAGACGAAUUGUACCACUUUCAUAUCUGACUUGCUUGAAGAAAGAAGAUCCAAGAUAUCAACGAGAUAACCUUCCUACCAAUGCAAAUGGGUUAAAGCAAGGGGAAUAAUCCUCUUUAUUUUUUCAUAUCUUCACCAAAAAACCCCAUCAUCAAACCAAAUGCUGAAGUAUUUAUUAUCAAUACAACAACUUCUUUCUUCCAUGACAAAUCAUGGCAAAAGUGAGAAGAUAAAACCAAUGCCCAAAGGAUCACUAAAGCUAAGAGUGAAAUGAAAAAAAAAAAAAAAAAAAA